UACAGAGGGUGCGAGCGUUAUCGGAAUUACUGGGCGUAAAGCGUGCGUAGACGGUUUGUAAGUCGGGUGUGAAAUCCCCGGGCUCAACCUGGGAAUUGCAUUCGAGACUGCAAGGCUGGGGUGCGGAAGAGGGAAGCGGAAUUUCCGGUGUAGCGGUGAAAUGCGUAGAUAAUCGGAAGGAACAUCAGUGGCUGAAAGCGGACUU
rnacentral:rRNA from 1 species